AUUGAACGCUGGCGGCAUGCCUUACACAUGCAAGUCGAACGGCAGCAUGGAGAGCUUGCUCUCUGAUGGCGAGUGGCGAACGGGUGAGUAAUGCAUCGGAACGUACCGUGUAAUGGGGGAUAACGUAGCCAAAGUUACGCUAAUACCGCAUACGACCUGAGGGUGAAAGCAAGGGAUCGCAAGACCUUGCGUUAUACGAGCGGCCGAUGUCAGAUUAGCUAGUUGGUGAGGUAAAGGCUCACCAAGGCGACGAUCUGUAGCGGGUCUGAGAGGAUGAUCCGCCACACUGGGACUGAGACACGGCCCAGACUCCUACGGGAGGCAGCAGUGGGGAAUUUUGGACAAUGGGGGCAACCCUGAUCCAGCCAUGCCGCGUGAGUGAAGAAGGCCUUCGGGUUGUAAAGCUCUUUCGGCCGGGAAGAAAUCGCACAGGCUAAUACUCUGUGUGGAUGACGGUACCGGCAUAAGAAGCACCGGCUAACUACGUGCCAGCAGCCGCAGUAA
rnacentral:rRNA from 1 species